rnacentral:rRNA from 1 species
GUGGAUGCCUUGGCAUGUACAGGCGAUGAAGGACGUGGCACGCUGCGAUAAGCGUGGGGGAGCCGUGAG